GACGAACGCUGGCGGCGUGCUUAACACAUGCAAGUCGAACGGAAAGGCCCUGCUUUUGUGGGGUGCUCGAGUGGCGAACGGGUGAGUAACACGUGAGUAACCUGCCCUUGACUUUGGGAUAACUUCAGGAAACUGGGGCUAAUACCGGAUAGGAGCUCCUGCUGCAUGGUGGGGGUUGGUAAGUUUCGGCGGUUGGGGAUGGACUGGCGGCUCAUCAGCUUGUUGGUGGGGUAGGGGCUUACCAAGGCUUUGACGGGUAGCCGGCCUGAGAGGGUGGCCGGGCACAAUGGGACUGAGAUACGGCGCAGACUCCUACGGGAGGCAGCGGUGGGGAGUAUUGCGCAAUGGGCGGAAGCCUGAUGCAGCAACGCCGCGAGCGAGAUGACGGCCUUCGGGUUGUAAACCACUUUCGCCUGUGACGAAGCGUGAGUGACGGUAAUGAGUAAAGAAGCACCGGCUAACUACGUG
rnacentral:rRNA from 1 species